AGCGCAAGCGGUUUUUAAGUCUGAUGUGAAAGCCCUUGACUCAACCAAGGAAGUGCAUCGGAAACUGGAGAACUUGAGUGCAGAAGAGGACAGUGGAACUCCAUGUGUAGCGGUGAAAUGCGUAGAUAUAUGGAAGAACACCAGUGGCGAAGGCGGCUGUCUGGUCUGUAACUGACGCUGAGGCUCGAAAGCUAGGGUAGCGAACA
rnacentral:rRNA from 1 species